GUCAACGCCUUCCUCGGGCGCGCGCGCCGGCUGCUGGGGUUCCGCCUCCGUAGCGGAUCCAGCCAAUCGCAACCCUCUCUCUCUCUGCGGACAGGUGGAGGCGCGAAGAGGGGCGGGGCUACAGAGACGGGCCUCUCCGAAAGGCCGCACCCUUUCCCCCAGGUUAUCGCCGGCUGGGAGGUUCUGCUGCGUGACUUGUGGUAGCUACCUGACAAGUACCUCUAAGCUUUCCUGCUCUAACCCAGGGAUAAAAAUAGGCACCCCGCCCUCUUCUGCCCGUAGCCCUUGGUUUUUCCCGUAAGGCCGUUACUGUAAAGCGAGUGGCUGUCAGGAAAGCAUGUGAGGACUCUUCCCACCAAACCUGAGGACCUGGGGCCCACACAGCAGAAACGGGGCACUGACUCCCUCAAGUUGGUCUCUUAGCCACAUGGCAUGUGCACCCCUCCCACACGCACACAAACCACAUCUUCAACCUCUACAGCAGCUCCUAAGACAGCUGCUGAGCCUCAGUGGAAGCUGCAGCCUCCUCAUCUUGGGCCCUCCUGUUGCAGUGGUAUUUUUCUGAAGAAACAGCUGAGGGCUGGAGAGAUGGCUCAGAGGUUAAGAGCACUGACUGUUCUUCUAGGGUCCUGAGUUCAAAUCCCAG